rfam:Salmo salar isolate Sally breed double haploid chromosome ssa16, whole genome shotgun sequence.
UGUAUGCACGCAUGAAGUCGCUUUGGAUAAAAGCAUCUGCUAAAUGGCGUAUA